rnacentral:sRNA from 1 species
GGAGAGUGAGUUGGUGAAGGGAGGGCGUGCACUAGGGAUACAGUGAUGAGCUCCCAUGGAUUUACAGUGGUGAGGAGAAGAGAUACAGAAACUCAAAAGUUCCCCAUUGUGGAGUUACCAGGACUUAAACACACACUGGAGACUAGGUAGAAAACUUAAUGCUGGAGCUGUAGCCUUUAAGCCUGGCUGUCACUACAAUGCAGGUCUUUCAGUGCCUUUACUCAGCUGACACACAUUUGCAGUGAUAACGUCAUUGAACCAAAGGGAUUCAAAUAGGUUUUUCGUUGGAAUAUACGUUGCACAUUUAUGGCGAUUCUGAGUGUGAGGGCAGACUUCUGCCAGGCUCAGCACAGCAUUUUCGCUGAC